rnacentral:rRNA from 1 species
AUUGAACGCUGGCGGCAGGCCUAACACAUGCAAGUCGAGCGGAUGACGGGAGCUUGCUCCUUGAUUCAGCGGCGGACGGGUGAGUAAUGCCUAGGAAUCUGCCUGGUAGUGGGGGACAACGUUUCGAAAGGAACGCUAAUACCGCAUACGUCCUACGGGAGAAAGCAGGGGACCUUCGGGCCUUGCGCUAUCAGAUGAGCCUAGGUCGGAUUAGCUAGUUGGUGGGGUAAUGGCUCACCAAGGCGACGAUCCGUAAAUGGUCUGAGAGGAUGAUCAGUCACACUGGAACUGAGACACGGUCCAGACUCCUACGGGAGGCAGCAGUGGGGAAUAUUGGACAAUGGGCGAAAGCCUGAUCCAGCCAUGCCGCGUGUGUGAAGAAGGUCUUCGGAUUGUAAAGCACUUUAAGUUGGGAGGAAGGGCAGUAAGCUAAUACCUUGCUGUUUUGACGUUACCGACAGAAUAAGCACCGGCUAACUCUGUGCCAGCAGCCGCCGUAAAAC